rnacentral:lncRNA from 1 species
UUUUUCUACUUAUUAAAUUAAUAUCUUGGAUAUCUUUUUUUAAUUUUUUGCACUGUAUUGAAUGUAAAUAAGAAGCAAAGGGAGAGUGAGAUUCCACUGUCUCUAUAAUACCAUAUACUCUAUUUUUAUCUUGCUUCAUCUAAGGUAAAGUCAACAAAUCUCAAUCAAUUUUAUACCAACUUUCACAUUUUGACCUCCACGAUUAAUCCUUCAAAGAUAUCCUAUUAAAUACAUUAACAUUUUAUAUAAUCUAAAAGAUGAUUAAAUAUCCACUUAUUCAAACAAAAAUUUCAAUUAUUUGAAGAAAAAUUUAAAAAUAAUGGAUUCUUACUAUAUGAAUCUAUCAUGUAUAAAUUGCUCAUUCUUUGUCGACUUUUACAUAUAUAAAUAGAAUUUUAUUGUAAUUUAUAAUUUAUUUCUAUGUCUUAAGAAAAAUAAAUAAAUUUCAUAGAGAUGACAAAAAUGUUAUGUAUUCGAGGCACGAUAGUACAAAAACAGCCAAUUUACAAGAAAGAAAGGAAGCGAGGAGACGUUAAUCCUUGUUUCGAUCCAUCUCCCGUUUUAUUUCUUUUUGCAACGAUGGGAGCGGCAACUUUCUAGAUGAUCGACGGCAACCUCGAGGGCCCUCGAUUGCGCCUCGGAAGAUCAUUGAUCUUGGCCAAGAAUCUUGCCGACCUCUUAAUCACUACCAUCGUUAAUCCGAUUUUCGACGUGUCGUUAAAAAGAAGUGCUAAUGACAUUUCUUUUUUUUCUAUCUUCUAACCUUACUUUUAUCCUCAGUUCUAAAAUCUUUUUAUUACUGGAUUCUCUUUGAGGAUUUUAUGACAUCAUUCGAAAUAAAAAAAAUUGUGAAAAAUUUUAAAUAUUAAAAUUAAUCAAUUUUUUUGAUCGAAAUUUCUAAUGCAUUUUUCAUAAAAUAAUUCGUUUGUAAUAGUUUCAGUUUCACGUGUUCGUUCGAUGGAGAUAAAAUGAGCUCUGACAAGCACUGCUCCCGAUCGGUAUAGUCAUGUCGAACAGUAUCGACAGAGACACACAUUGCGUCGUGUUUUACGUUUCUAUGUCUUCUUAUAAUGUCUUCAUCACGAUUCAAUGUUACGUUAGCUGAUAGUUAGUAGCUAAUAGCUUACUACUUAUAACCCGAUUGCUAGAGAGACUCGUUUUGUAAAUCGAAACUCUUUACAACUGUUCGUGGUAAUCGUUUGGAGAAUGGAAGCAGAUCAUUUGAAUACAGGUUAAGGAUCUCUGUUGAAUCGAUUGAUCGAGACUAAUUAACGAGUUUAAUUUAAGAGUUAGUGCAAUUAAUUAGGAAACAUAUAUAAAUUGUGAAUAGAAAUUACGUUUGUGCAUUAUGUUUAUACAAAUUUUAUCAAUGAAUUAAUCUGUGGUAAAUUUGAUUUCUUUUCUUGAAAUGAAUAUCUAUCCUUUUCAAAAUAUUGAUAAAUGGAAAAUUAGAGAGGUAAUAAUGAAAAAUGUAAAAUUAUACAGUUGCGUAAAUCAAGCAUUCCUUCUUCAUUCCUUGGAAAAAGAAAUUUGACCCUGAAUCAUGCAUGUCACAAGUUGUAACCAAUUCCUUUCAAUUUAUAUAAAUAUAAAUUUUUUUUUUCAUAAUAUAAAUAAAUAUUUCUUACAUAUAAUUUUAAUAUCCGUUUUCUUUAUAAUCAUAAUACUUACUAUUUAUAUCACUUGACUUGUCUGAUAAAUUUAAAUUAACAAGGAAAGAAAAAGAAAUCGUAGAAUCGAAUCGUUGCAUUUCGUUUCCCCCUCUUAAUCUUCAGAUUGGAAGAGAGAAAGGAUUAUUAAUGCACUUUUAAUCAUUGAACGUGCAAAGAUGUGCAAAUCUCCUGUUGAAAGUUUAAUAUCAAAAACGUUACGUAAAAAAGAAGGGAGGAAGAAGAUAUUUCAAGUACUUUCGACAUUUAUGCUCUGCACCAUUUUAACUUCCACGUUAUUUGAACUCCACGUGUGAAAAUGAUUGGGACGAGUUCGAAGACACUGAUUACGAAAAACUAGGAAGAAGUGAAACUCGUUUAACUUUCAUAUUUACACCAGAUUCGCGAUUUUCAUUUCAAUAAUCAAAUCUGAAAUGUUUGACCUUUGAUCAUAAACCAUAACACAUGAUUUCUUAUGAAGAGGAGAAAGUCUUCCCUAGAAAUAUCAACCAGAUUCUUCCUGGUGAAUGUCGAUUAACUUGUCGAUUUUUUUCUUUUUAAUUUAUUUAAUUUGUUAACAGCUAUAUUAUAGUUUAAGACCAGUAAUGAAAUGUGAACCUUCAAAUUUCAUCAUCCUCAUCUUUUAUGGAUUUAAAGAAAAGAAAAAAGUGGAAGAUUUGAUUUCUCAUCUCUUCUUUGCUGCUGCAUUUCCUUUCAGAAUUGGAAGAAAUUUUAAAAUUAUAUUUUCCAAGAGUCUCUAAAAAAUAUGUAAUAAUAAUAAUAAUAAUAUAGUAGUAAUUUAUGAUGUAAUUGAAUAUAUAUAGAUCGUAAAACGACUUGUUUAAAGUGUUGAACUGAAAAUAAUCUGUUAACAGUUUAUACCUCGUUUAAACCUGUGGCAAUAAAGGCUGGAAAUAUGGUUGAAUUA